AUGCUGCUUUCGUUGAUCUCAGAGCAAGAAAGGUCCGGCACUAGAGAUGAAAAAGCAAGGAGCCUUGUACUUCUUCUCACCGACAGCAGCACGAGCAGGGGACCUCCGGCGACAGCACACCAGCAGGUGACCUCCGGGCGGCUACACGAGCAAGGGACCAGUAGGAACUUGCAGAGCAGCAGGGGAAAGAGCUCGAGCUUGAGGUCCAGGACGAGCUUGAGGGAGCUCGAGGUCCAGGCGCGGCCGGAACUCGCGGUUGAGGCGCUCGAGACCCAGGCGCGCACAGGUCCUGGCCGACGGCGGCACAGAUCCUGGGUGGCGGAGGGGAUAUCGGCCGCGCAGGCCUGGCGGCGGCGGCCCAGGUCCUAG
rnacentral:rRNA from 1 species